rnacentral:rRNA from 1 species
ACGCUCGACACCUACUGGAGGCAGCAGUGGGGAAUAUUGCACAAUGGGGGAAACCCUGAUGCAGCGACGCCGCGUGAGCGAAGAAGUAUUUCGGUAUGUAAAGCUCUAUCAGCAGGGAAGAAACUGACGGUACCUGACUAAGAAGCACCGGCUAAAUACGUGACAGCAGCCGCGGUAAUCUGAGCGGGCUGGCAAGGC